rnacentral:tRNA from 1 species
UCGUAAGUUGCGGGGUUCUGCCGCCCGGCUUGGCUUAUGAUCUGGCCUUGCAGCCCAUUGCGGCUGCAGCAGGCGUGCGCAGUCGCGCCUGACGAG